rnacentral:rRNA from 1 species
ACGGAGGGUGCAAGCGUUAAUCGGAAUUACUGGGCGUAAGGCGCACGUAGGUGGUUUGUUAAGCUAGCUGUGAAAUCCCCGGGCUCAACCUGGGCACUGCAGUUAGAACUGGCAAGCUAGAGUAUGUUAGAGGGAAGUGGAAUUCCAGGUGUAGCGGUGAAAUGCGUAGAUAUCUGGAGGAACACCAAUGGCGAAGGCAACUUCCUGGGACAAUACUGACACUGAGGUGCGAAAGCAUGGGUAGCAAACAGGA